UCUUGGAAGCAUGUGUUUUCAUUUCAACACGAAUUGAGUCAUCCGUGAUUGAUGGGACAUUUCGAUCAUGGAGCGUUUCCUACGGAAUCUCGUUCUCCUGUCUCUGGCUAGACUUCUCUCGGCCUUUGUGCCCACUUUGAACCAAUGUCAUCAGACUUGUGGUCGAGUCCAAUCCCCGCACGGUCGCCCUAAGAGAUUUGCACUAGAAGACGAACUCGAUCUAUACUCGUACGAGGAGGAUCAAUUUCCUUCCGAGGCGAUACCACGUGGGGCCGAAUACGAUCCCUAUUAUGAUCUCAAUGGGGGUUUGUCAGAAGCGUCCAAUAUCAGCGAUUCGGAUACCAGAAUUGUGAAUGGCUACGAUGCGGCGGAUCGUCCUUGGUUGGCUUUGCUCAGCAUUUCUGGCGCAUCCUGUGGAGGAGCCCUUCUCAACAAAAGAUACAUUCUGACUGCGGCUCACUGCUUCUGUCGACAAUCAGGAGGAGCCAUUUGUGAGGAGCAAAUGACCGACGGAUUGCCCACUCAUCAGCCGACCUAUGAUCUCACCCAGACAGUGGUGGUUUUCCUCGGGAUCAAUGGGAGCCCCUUGCGAACGAAGGGAAGAAAUAGGGACCAAAUCUACCGGGUUAUUUCUGCCAAGAUCAGAGCCGGCUGGUAUUUUGGCAAGACAUUUUCACCGGACUUGGCAUUAGCCAAGUUGGAUCGAGAUGUUGUCUUUUCUGCGAGUGUUUUUCCCAUUUGUAUUCCCAUUGCCAAUGACUUCCCCGACAUCUCGAAUCGAGACCAAAAGCUCCAGGCGUUCGUGGCCGGUUGGGGUGCGGUGUAUUCGCAAUGCGAUACCAACGACCAAGGUCCGAGUCCUCACACCAUGUGCAAGUUCCCGUUUGUUUACCAAGGCAUGGUACACCAUCAAUGCGCUCAAAUGCCACCACCCAGUCACGACAAUCCCGUCUGUCAGCAAUUCCUUCGAUGGCACUCACGCGUAGGGUCCCGCGGGAGGAUCCAAAUGGGUCAGGAGGGCACUUUUUCCAUCUUCUAUUGGGACGACGCAGCUGGAAGAGCCGAGCGAACCACGUGUUAUAUGCCCAAUGAUCGCACCUCUCGCUUCGGCUGGUGUGGCACGUGCUACUCGGGAAAUUUGAAUCCAGGACAAGAGGGAUACUGCGACAAGUUUCUUAGUGGAACCGAGCUCAAUACAACCACCGAAUUUAGCCGCCCGCAACUGGAUCAGAACUGGGGGUGGUGCAAUCAAUGGUGCGAAAAUGCCAGGGGUCAAACUAAUGCUCAGCGUUUACAAGAAACGGCGCUAGACAUCUUGACCCCGGAGGAGUGCCAAACGUUUGGCGCCAGUUUAGAGGUGAAUGCCAGCUCAGAAAUCUGCACGGGUCGGAAGAAGAACUUCGACCUGGUGUACCAAUUCCGGCGGGUCGAAAGUGGACGAGGCAUGAAAUUCAAGGAGGAAGCCAAAUUUCAGAACAAGCUUGGCCUUGCCGAUGAUGACCACGAUUUUUAUUUGGGAGGCACGGACUCUUGUCAAGCAGGUGCCGGAUUAACGUGCAUUGGUGUAAUCAUAAGUGUCGCAACUGGGUUGCAAGAUUACCAAUUUCUAAUUGGCACCAAUGUGCGGUGGCUUUAACAUCAACUCUAUUGUUCAUUUUCAUUCACCAUAUUUGCUUGGUCAGUUAUGAAGUUGUGAGGAAAGCACACGUGAUAGUGGAGGUCCGUUGAUUCGUUGGGAACGGGUGGAUGGAUCUAAUUUACGGGCCUAUAUCAUAGGCACCGUGAGCCGUGGCAUCGGAUGUGGUAACUUCAAUCAACCUGGCAUUUUCACUCGGACUACAAGCCACCUAGAUUGGCUUUAUGAGAACAUCAAAGAUGGCAACUGCUAAUAGACACACGAGAUGAAAUGCAAAUACAUAUUGUGUGUUAUUAUGCUAAACCUUA